GUUGGUUAGCUUGCUAACCGGCGGACAGCGGCGGAAGGGAGAGUAACGCGUGGUUAUGUGCCCUGAAGACCGGGAUAGUGUUGGGAAACUGGCAGUAAUACCGGAUAAUAUCUUUGGAUCAAAGGUGUGAUUCCGCUUCAGGAUCGGACCGCGUACUAUUAGCUUGUUGGUGGGGUAAUGGCCCACCAAGGCUCAGAUGGUUACCGGGUGUGAGAGCAUGACCCGGCUCACUGGGACUGAGACACUGCCCAGACAUCUACGGAUGGCUGCAGUCGAGAAUCUUCGGCAAUGGACGAAAGUCUGACCGAGCGACGCCGCGUGCGGGAUGAAGGCCCUCGGGUUGUAAACCGCUGUCAGUUAGGAGGAAAUCUAUGAGGGCACUCUCUCAUAGUUGACCGAUUUUCAGAGGAAGGACGGGCUAAGUUCGUGCCAGCAGCCGCGGUAAGACGAACCGUCCAAACGUUAUUCGGUAUCACUGGGCUUAAAGCGUGCGUAGGCGGCUUGAUAGGUGAGAUGUGAAAGCCCACGGCCCAACCGUGGAAUUGCGUUUCAAACCCUCAAGCUCGAGGAAGAUAGGGGUGAUGGGAACUUAUGGUGGAGCGGUGAAAUGCGUUGAUAUCAUAGGGAACACCGGUGGCGAAAGCGCAUCACUGGAUCUUUUCUGACGCUGAGGCACGAAAGCUAGGGUAGCGAACGGGAUUAGAUACCCCGGUAGUCCUAGCCGUAAACGAUGAGCACUGGGUUGAGGGAACUAUCACAUUCUCUCGGCCGUAGCGAAAGCG
rnacentral:rRNA from 2 species